rnacentral:rRNA from 1 species
CCUACGGGUGGCAGCAGUGGGGAAUAUUGCACAAUGGGGGAAACCCUGAUGCAGCGACGCCGCGUGAGUGAAGAAGUAAUUCGUUAUGUAAAGCUCUAUCAGCAGGGAAGAAAAUGACGGUACCUGAGUAAGAAGCCCCGGCUAACUCAGUGCCAGCAGCCGCGGUCAUACGGAGGGGGCGAGCGUUAUCCGGAUUUACUGGGUGUAAAGUGAGCGUAGACGGCAGUGCAAGUCUGGAGUGAAAGGCUGGGGCUCAACCCCCGGACUGCUCUUGAAACUGUACGGCUUGAGUGCAGGUGAGGUAAGUGGAAUUACUAGUGUAGCGGUGAAAUGCGUAGAUAUUAGGAGGAACACCAGUGGCGAAGGCGGCUUACUGGACUGUAACUGACGUUGAGGCUCGAAAGCGUGGGGAGCAAACAGGAUUAGAUACCCCUGUAGUC